UGAUUAAGUUAUUAAGGGCGCACGGUGGAUGCCUUGGCACUAGAAGCUGAUGAAGGACGUUACUAACGACGAUAUGCUUUGGGUAGCUGUAAGUAAGCGUUGAUCCAGAGAUUUCCGAAUGGGGGAACCCAGCACAAGUUAUGUUGUGUUAUCGACAUGUGAAUACAUAGCAUGUCCGAAGGCAGACGCGGAGAACUGAAACAUCUUAGUACCCGCAGGAAGAGAAAGAAAACUCGAUUCCCUGAGUAGCGGCGAGCGAAACGGGAAGAGCCCAAACCAAUGAGCUUGCUCAUUGGGGUUGUAGGACACUCUACACGGAGUUACAAAAGAAUUGAUUAGACGAAUCGUACUGGAAAGUCGAACCAGAGAAGGUAAGAGUCCUGUAGUCGAAAGUCAAUUCUCUCCUGAGUGGAUCCUGAGUACGACGGAGCACGUGAAAUUCCGUCGGAAUCCGGGAGGACCAUCUCCCAAGGCUAAAUACUCUCUAGUGACCGAUAGUGAACCAGUACCGUGAGGGAAAGGUGAAAAGUACCCCGGAAGGGGAGUGAAAGAGAACUUGAAACCGUGUGCUUACAAGUAGUCAGAGCCCGUUAAUGGGUGAUGGCGUGCCUUUUGUAGAAUGAACCGGCGAGUUACGAUCUGAUGCAAGGUUAAGCAGCGAAUGCGGAGCCGCAGCGAAAGCGAGUCUGAACAGGGCGUUGAGUAUUUGGUCGUAGACCCGAAACCAGGUGAUCUACCCUUGGUCAGGUUGAAGUUCAGGUAACACUGAAUGGAGGACCGAACCGACUUACGUUGAAAAGUGAGCGGAUGAACUGAGGGUAGCGGAGAAAUUCCAAUCGAACCUGGAGAUAGCUGGUUCUCUCCGAAAUAGCUUUAGGGCUAGCCUCAAGUGAUGAUUGUUGGAGGUAGAGCACUGUUUGGACGAGGGGCCCCUCUCGGGUUACCGAAUUCAGACAAACUCCGAAUGCCAAUCAAUUUAACUUGGGAGUCAGAACGUGGGUGAUAAGGUCCAUGUUCGAAAGGGAAACAGCCCAGACCACCAGCUAAGGUCCCAAAAUAUAUGUUAAGUGGCAAAGGAUGUGGUAUUGCCCAGACAACUAGGAUGUUGGCUUAGAAGCAGCCAUCAUUUAAAGAGUGCGUAAUAGCUCACUAGUCGAGUGACACUGCGCCGAAAAUGUACCGGGGCUAAACAUAUUACCGAAGCUGUGGACUGUCCUUCGGACAGUGGUAGGAGAGCGUUCUAAGGGCGUCGAAGCAUGAUCGCAAGGACAUGUGGAGCGCUUAGAAGUGAGAAUGCCGGUGUGAGUAGCGAAAGAUGGG
rnacentral:rRNA from 1 species